UACAGAGGGGGCAAGCGUUAUUCGGAAUUAUUGGGCGUAAAGGGCGCGUAGGCGGCUUGGCAAGUGGAUGGUGAAAUCCCUCGGCUUAACCGAGGAACUGCCGUCCAAACUGCUUCGCUUGAGACCGGGAGAGGUGAGUGGAAUUCCCAAUGUAGCGGUGAAAUGCGUAGAUAUUGGGAGGAACACCAGUGGCGAAGGCGGCUCACUGGACCGGUACUGACGCUGAGGCGCGAAAGCGUGGGGAGCAAACGGG
rnacentral:rRNA from 1 species